AUUGAACGCUGGCGGCAGGCCUAACACAUGCAAGUCGAGCGAGCGGCGGACGGGUGAGUAAUGUCUGGGGAUCUGCCCGAUGGAGGGGGAUAACUACUGGAAACGGUAGCUAAUACCGCAUACUAUCGGAUGAACCCAUAUGGGAUUAGCUAGUAGGUGGGGUAACGGCUCACCUAGGCGACGAUCCCUAGCUGGUCUGAGAGGAUGAUCAGCCACACUGGGACUGAGACACGGUCCAGACUCCUACGGGAGGCAGCAUUGGGGAAUAUUGCACAAUGGGCGCAAGCCUGAUGCAGCCAUGCCGCGUGUAUGAAGAAGGCCUUAGGGUUGUAAAGUACUUUCAGCGAGGAGGCGUUACCCGCAGAAGAAGCACCGGCUAACUCCGUGCCAGCCGCCGCGGUAAUUC
rnacentral:rRNA from 1 species